UUUCUUUUUUUUUUGGAGGGGGAGAGAGAGCAAAGGAUGGGAACGGAAGGAAUGACAGGCGGCACCCAGAUCUGGGGACAGAGCCUUUCGAUGGGCAGCUGAAGUUCAGGCUUCGCUACUUAAAGCGAAACCGGGAGAAAUGCAAAUCGAGCUAGAAGAGGAGGGGAGAGAAGAAGAGAGAUUUCCUGUGGAGGAAAAAAGAAAGGAGCGAGGUGGCAACCGGAUAGUUCUACUCCUGUUUCCCGUUGAUAUACUGGCAUCAUUGCUGAUGGGAUACGACCCCCGACCCCCCAAAGUAGGCUGCUUUUUAAGAGGAGAUCAACAUGCAAAGUGAACAGAUUCCAGAACCAGCUAUCUGUGCAUCCCAUUUCAUAUUUUUAAUUUGGCUUUGUGAUGAGGCAAUUGAAACUCUUAGACAGGGUCUGGCUUCGCAGACUGAUGAGGACCUGAAAAUAAUGAAAGGCGACAUGAAAGCAGCGAGUCUGUUAGACGAUCAUCAAACCCAACAGAGUUUUCACAACUGGAGGUUAGCAAGUUCGAGAAGGAUGGCAGCUCUGCCAAAACUGGCCAAUGGAGACGUUUUGCUGAAUAUCCCUUCCCCACCAAAAUAAAGGACAAACUUCUGUGGAUGUGCGUGAACAAGGAGAGAAUGGGAAAGAAGAGGGCAACUUGAACUCAUUAUUUCAUAUGAGUUCUAAAUUAUGUUUGUUUCCUCAUUUGCUGUACGUGUAUUGUUAUAAGUGCCAUCCUAUCACAACAGAAGAAAUCAAUGAUUUUUUUUUAAAA